rnacentral:rRNA from 1 species
AUUGAACGCUGGCGGCAGGCCUAACACAUGCAAGUCGAACGAGUGGCGGACGGGUGAGUAAUGUCUGGGAAACUGCCCGAUGGAGGGGGAUAACUACUGGAAACGGUAGCUAAUACCGCAUACUAUCAGAUGAGCCCAGGUCGGAUUAGCUAGUUGGUGGGGUAAUGGCCUACCAAGGCGACGAUCCGUAGCUGGUCUGAGAGGAUGAUCAGCCACACUGGAACUGAGACACGGUCCAGACUCCUACGGGAGGCAGCAGUGGGGAAUAUUGGACAAUGGGCGAAAGCCUGAUGCAGCCAUGCCGCGUGUGUGAAGAAGGUCUUCGGAUUGUAAAGCACUUUAAGUUGGGAGGCGUUACCAACAGAAUAAGCACCGGCUAACUCCGUGCCAGCAGCCGCGGUAAUUC